rnacentral:hammerhead_ribozyme from 1 species
AUCCGGCCGAUGAGUCACAAAUAGGACGAAAUGUGCAUCCUAGAU